GUGAGUAACACGUGGGUAACCUACCUAUAAGACUGGGAUAACUUCGGGAAACCGGAGCUAAUACCGGAUAACAUUUGGAACCGCAUGGUUCUAAAGUGAAAGAUGGUUUUGCUAUCACUUAUAGAUGGACCCGCGCCGUAUUAGCUAGUUGGUAAGGUAACGGCUUACCAAGGCGACGAUACGUAGCCGACCUGAGAGGGUGAUCGGCCACACUGGAACUGAG
rnacentral:rRNA from 1 species